GCAACGUAUUGACAAAGGCGAUUCUCUGGGGAAGGGGGUCCAGUUUUCCUCAUAGUUUACAACUAGCAGCUUCGAGACAACCUGUUUCCUUAGAGAAGGCGGGAGGUUUUCUGUGUGCAAAUGUACUCUCGGAUUCAUCCUUCCACCCCAAAUUUAUUCAACAUUUCCGACAGCAGGUCUGAAACACACAUACAAAGGCAUGUCGGAUAAGGGGGCUUAUAUCCACCUGCUGCAGUUGCUCAAAAUGUCUCAGUUGAAACUUAGAAGACAUGGCCUUUCAAAAUCCUCAACUGAAUAUGUGAAGAAAAUGGAUCUCUGAAUUCUUGCAGGGAAAAUACACAGUCCUCUUUAAGUGGUGGUAGCUGCAAACAGAUGCUUGGAAGAAAUUUCUACCUUUAAUCUCCUCUAAGGAUUUGCAGAGGGUUACACAAUAAAAGACAAGACAUAUACACACA